GAUAAACGCUGGCGGCGCACAUAAGACAUGCAAGUCGAACGGACUUAACCAUUAGUUUACUAUUGGAGCGGUUAGUGGCGGACUGGUGAGUAACGCGUAAGCAAUCUGCCUAUCAGUGGGGGACAACAGUUGGAAACGACUGCUAAUACCGCAUGACGCUUCUUAGGGGCAUCCCUGAGAAGUCAAAGCUUUAUGUGCUGAAAGAUGGCCUCGCGUCUGAUUAGCUAGUUGGUGGGGUAACGGCCCACCAAGGCGACGAUCAGUAGCCGGUCUGAGAGGAUGAACGGCCUCAUUGGGACUGAGAUACGGCCCAG
rnacentral:rRNA from 1 species